rnacentral:lncRNA from 7 species
CUUCUUUGCAGGUAGGUAGGACAUUUGUCUUAUUUUCACAGUGGGAAGCCCUCGGACAGUUCUGAUGAAACUCCAAGCCUGAAUGAAAUAAUCAGCCUUCAAAGCUAACCUCAAAUCAUGUCCUCAAUGUCACACAAAAGUUUUAAGGGAUGGAAUUUCAAGAUGACUAUUUAUUAAAUGUACUGUGUGAAAUAAAAUAAGCAUCAUGACUUGAAAUUCAUGGCAGUACAGAACACAGUGUGCAAGCUAGGAGAAUUUUUAACAACACAUAGAUGAGUGGACCAAGGAAAGAUCAGACCUCCAGAUAUUCAAGGCCAGUUGAAGAAAUAGUGCAACUCACACAGCGUUUCCACAAGAACAAGGACCAAGUGCAACCUGCAGGCAAAAGCUGUGGUUUGCACAAAGACAGAGUGGAGAACAAUUGGACAGGCAUCAACACUGAAUGAAGAAAAUUUUGGAGCCCACCUACCCUACUGUAGAGCCUUUGUGCUACAGCUCAGACUCAGACGUGAAAACAUAAAUGCCAUAAUGCAAAAGCACCGAAGUCUUCUACUGGAUCUGGCCCAAGGAUCUCUCAAUUCUUUCCACGUGUUUCCAUGUGCAAGACUUCUGCUGGUCUAAGCCACUUUCCCCUCCAUAAGCAACAACUUCAGCACACAGCAGAAAGCUGCACGGUAAACAAACAGAAACUGGAACAUAAUGCCAUCUUCAGAAAAAAAAGUGUGCACAUUAACAGUAAGGAAAAGCCCCAUACGGUUCCCAGAAAAGACCAUAUGAACCAGAAGAACUGGCUGUUGGGCCCAUGCAUCCUGUGUGUCCUUAUGCUUGGGACAAUGAUGGCCUUCUGGAAAUUUUCAGAAAUCUCUGUUUGGCUGAGGAUGGAGAAGUCAGAAAGGGUGCCAAAAUCUUUUCCCAUACCUGACCAGACUUGGAGGAGAUUUUUCAGAACAAACUGUGGAGUGGUCUUAAGUGGAGAGGAUACUGCAAGGAAAUAUCCACUUAGAGACAUCGUGGAAACAUCUUCCAACGCUACAGAGGAAAAAAUGCAUAUCUAUUUUUUAAGAUGGAUCAUGGCUGGCUUCUGAGAUGGAUGAGAAUGACAUGACCGCAUGUAAUAAAUUUGAUCAUGAUC